GCCAGCGUGACGUAGUGGUUUGAGAGUUGGACUAUGACUCUGUGGACCAGGGUUCAAUUCCUAGCUUGGCC